rnacentral:rRNA from 1 species
ACGAAGGGUGCAAGCGUUACUCGGAAUUACUGGGCGUAAAGCGUGCGUAGGUGGUUCGUUAAGUCUGAUGUGAAAUCCCCGGGCUUAACCUGGGAACUGCAUUUGUGACUGCAUAGCUAGAGUACGGUAGAGGGGGAUGGAAUUCCGCGUGUAGCAGUGAAAUGCGUAGAUAUGCGGAGGAACACCGAUGGCGAAGGCAGUCCCCUGGACCUGUACUGACGCUCAUGCACGAAAGCGUGGGGAGCAAACAGGA